rnacentral:rRNA from 1 species
GGGUUUGAUCAUGGGCUCAGGACGAACGCUGGCGGCGUGCCUAAUACAUGCAAGUCGAGCGAGUCUGCCUUGAAGAUCGGAGUGCUUGCACUCUGUGAAACAAGAUACAGGCUAGCGGCGGACGGGUGAGUAACACGUGGGUAACCUGCCCAAGAGAUCGGGAUAACACCUGGAAACAGAUGCUAAUACCGGAUAACAACAGAUGAUGCCUAUCAACUGUUUAAAAGAUGGUUCUGCUAUCACUCUUGGAUGGACCUGCGGUGCAUUAGCUAGUUGGUAGGGUAACGGCCUACCAAGGCGAUGAUGCAUAGCCGAGUUGAGAGACUGAUCGGCCACAUUGGGACUGAGACACGGCCCAAACUCCUACGGGAGGCAGCAGUAGGGAAUCUUCCACAAUGGACGCAAGUCUGAUGGAGCAACGCCUCGUGAGUGAAGAAGGGUUUUCGGCUCGUUAAAGCUCUUGUUGUUGGUGAAUAAGGAC